AUUGAACGCUGGCGGCAGGCUUAACACAUGCAAGUCGAGCGCGCGGCGGACGGGUGAGUAAUGUCUGGGAAACUGCCUGAUGGAGGGGGAUAACUACUGGAAACGGUGGAUAAUACCGCAUACUAUCGGAUGAACCAAUAUGGGAGUAGCUAGUAGGUGGGGUAAAGGCUGACCUAGGCGACGAUCUCUCGCUGGUCUGAGAGGAUGAUGAGCCACACUGGGACUGUGACACGGCCCAUACUCCUACGGGAGGAAGCAGUGGGGAAUAUUGCACAAUGGGCGCAAGCCUGAUGCAGCCGUGCCGCGUGUAUGAAGAAGGCCUUAGGGUUGUAAAGUACUUUCAGCGGGGAGGCGUUACCCGCAGAAGAAGCACCGGCUAACUCCGUGCCAGCAGCCGCGGUAAUUC
rnacentral:rRNA from 1 species